rnacentral:rRNA from 1 species
UACGUAGGGUGCAGGCGUUAAUCGGAAUUACUGGGCGUAAAGCGUGCGCAGGCGGUAAUGUAAGACAGAUGUGAAAUCCCAGGGCUCAACCUUGGAACUGCAUUUGUGACUGCAUUGCUGGAGUGCGGCAGAGGGGGAUGGAAUUCCGCGUGUAGCAGUGAAAUGCGUAGAUAUGCGGAGGAACACCGAUGGCGAAGGCAAUCCCCUGGACCUGUACUGACGCUCAUGCACGAAAGCGUGGGGAGCAAACAGG